rnacentral:rRNA from 1 species
AUACCGCAUACGACCUGAGGGUGAAAGCGGGGGACCGUAAGGCCUCGCGCGAUUGGAGCGGCCGAUAUCAGAUUAGCUAGUUGGUGGGGUAAAAGCCCACCAAGGCGACGAUCUGUAGCUGGUCUGAGAGGACGACCAGCCACACUGGGACUGAGACACGGCCCAGACUCCUACGGGAGGCAGCAGUGGGGAAUUUUGGACAAUGGACGCAAGUCUGAUCCAGCCAUGCCGCGUGCGGGAAGAAGGCCUUCGGGUUGUAAACCGCUUUUGUCAGGGAAGAAACGAGUUUCUCUAAUACAGAGACUUAAUGACGGUACCUGAAGAAUAAGCACCGGCUAACUACGUGCCAGCAGCCGCGGUAAUACGUAGGGUGCAAGCGUUAAUCGGAAUUACUGGGCGUAAAGCGUGCGCAGGCGGUUAUGCAAGACAGAGGUGAAAUCCCCGGGCUC